CGGCGGACGGGUGAGUAACACGUGGGCAACCUGCCUAUAAGACUGGGAUAACUUCGGGAAACCGGAGCUAAUACCGGAUAAUUCAUAUCUACACAUGUAGAUAUGCUGAAAGACGGUUUACGCUGUCACUUAUAGAUGGGCCCGCGGCGCAUUAGCUAGUUGGUGAGGUAACGGCUCACCAAGGCAACGAUGCGUAGCCGACCUGAGAGGGUGAUCGGCCACACUGGGACUGAGACACGGCCCAGACUCCUACGGGAGGCAGCAGUAGGGAAUCUUCCGCAAUGGACGAAAGUCUGACGGAGCAACGCCGCGUGAGUGAUGAAGGUUUUCGGAUCGUAAAACUCUGUUGUUAGGGAAGAACAAGUACUAGAGUAACUGCUAGUACCUUGACGGUACCUAACCAGAAAGCCACGGCUAACUACGUGCCAGCAGCCGCGGUAAUACGUAGGUGGCAAGCGUUGUCCGGAAUUAUUGGGCGUAAAGCGCGCGCAGGCGGUCCUUUAAGUCUGAUGUGAAAGCCCACGGCUCAACCGUGGAGGGUCAUUGGAAACUGGGGGACUUGAGUACAGAAGAGAAGAGUGGAAUUCCACGUGUAGCGGUGAAAUGCGUAGAGAUGUGGAGGAACACCAGUGGCGAAGGCGA
rnacentral:rRNA from 1 species